rnacentral:rRNA from 1 species
UACGUAGGGGGCAAGCGUUGUCCGGAAUCAUUGGGCGUAAAGAGCGUGUAGGCGGCUCGAUAAGUCCGCUGUGAAAGUCCAGGGCUCAACCCUGGAAGGCCGGUGGAAACUGUCGGGCUAGAGUCCGGAAGAGGCGAGUGGAAUUCCCGGUGUAGCGGUGAAAUGCGCAGAUAUCGGGAGGAACACCAGUAGCGAAGGCGGCACUCUGGGCCGGUACUGACACUGAGGAGCGAAAGCGUGGGGAGCGAACAGG